GAUGAACGCUAGCGAUAGGCUUAACACAUGCAAGUCGAGGGGCAGCAUGGUCUUAGCUUGCUAAGACUGAUGGCGACCGGCGCACGGGUGCGUAACGCGUAUGCAACUUGCCUCACAGAGGGGGAUAACCCGUCGAAAGACGGACUAAUACCGCGUACACUCCAUCUUGGGCAUCCAAGGUAGAGGAAAUGAAAUUCGCUGUGAGAUAGGCAUGCGUCCCAUUAGCUAGUUGGUGAGGUAACGGCUCACCAAGGCGACGAUGGGUAGGGGAACUGAGAGGUUGAACCCCCACACUGGUACUGAGACACGGACCAGACUCCUACGGGAGGCAGCAGUGAGGAAUAUUGGUCAAUGGGCGAGAGCCUGAACCAGCCAAGUCGCGUGAAGGAUGACUGUCUUAUGGAUUGUAAACUUCUUUUAUACGGGAAUAACAAGAGUCACGUGUGACUCCCUGCAUGUACCGUAUGAAUAAGCAUCGGCUAACUCCGUG
rnacentral:rRNA from 1 species